CCCUCUGAAACCCAGUCAUGACAAGUUGUAACUCAUUGUCUUGCACUGGUGUGCAGGGAGCAGAGAAAACACACAAAUGACAAUUAACAUCCCAGCUGACACCAGCCUCAAUUUCUGACCCACUGAGAUGCCACCUCUGGGAAUAGUCUGAAAUCAGUAUUUUAUUGGAAAGAGGGCUCAGGCGUAAUUCCAGUUGGGCAAAGCUGGCAAGUGAAUCACAGACACACGUCAAAGGAGGGGAAGGGCAUUCCCCAGGCAGCUUCAGCCAUCAUCCCUGCUCUGUUCCUGCUCUAUUCCUGCUCUGUUCCUGCUCUAUUCCUGCCCUGUUCCUGCUCUGUUCCUGCCCUGUUCCUGCUCUAUUCCUGCUCUGUUCCUGCCCUGUUCCUGCCCUGUUCCUGCUCUGUUCCUGCUCUAUUCCUGCCCUGUUCCUGCCCUAUUCCUGCUCUGUUCCUGCCCUGUUCCUGCUCUGUUCCUGCUCUAUUCCUGCCCUGUUCCUGCCCUAUUCCUGCUCUGUUCCUGCCCUGUUCCUGCUCUGUUCCUGCUCUAUUCCUGCCCUGUUCCUGCCCUAUUCCUGCUCUGUUCCUGCCCUGUUCCUGCUCUGUUCCUGCCCUGUUCCUGCCCUGUUCCUGCCCUGUUCCCGCCCUGUUUCUGCUCUGUUCCUGCCCUGUUCCUGCACUAUUCCCGCCCUGUUUCUGCUCUAUUCCUGCUCUAUUCCUGCCCUGUUCCUGCCCUGUUCCUGCCCUGUUGGCACCAGGGGCUGUGCUCACGUGUAUGCACUCCACAGCACCCAGGACAGCAGGAGCUGAUCCUCACGUG
rnacentral:lncRNA from 12 species